rnacentral:rRNA from 1 species
AACGUAGGAGACAAACGUUAUCCGGAGUUACUGGGCGUAAAGGGCGUGUAGGCGGUUUGUUAAGUCUGGCGUGAAAGCUCUCGGCUAAACCGGGAGAGGUCGUUGGAUACUGGCAAACUAGAGGACGGUAGAGGCGUGUGGAAUUCCGGGUGUAGUGGUGAAAUGCGUAGAUAUCGGGAGGAACACCUGAGGCGAAGGCGGCCUUCUGGACAGUGACUGACGCUGAGACGCGAAAGCGUGGGGAGCAAACAGG